rnacentral:lncRNA from 1 species
UUUUCACUGCACAUACAAAAUAUAAAAAAAAAGACUAUUUAACAAUUUUGACAUUUUGUAACAAGUUAAGAGUUAUGACAUAGAAUAAAAAUAUAUCAAGAUUCAAAAUCUAUAAGUACUUAAAAUGUCUAGUGUGAAUAGUAAAAUUAAACUUUAAAUUAAAAAAAAAACAAAGGUAAAAUUUAAAAUUGUAAUAAAUUACCGAUAACAAAAAUAAACUAAUGUCAAAUUACAUCAAAGUUUUGUUAGUAGAUUCAUA